rnacentral:rRNA from 1 species
GAUGAACGCUAGCGGGAGGCUUAAUACAUGCAAGUCAGGGGUAACAUGGCGAGCCCUAGUUUGCUGAUGGCGACCGGCGCACGGGUGAGUAACGCGUACGCAACCUACCUUUCACUGAGGAAUAGCCCUGGGAAACUGGGAUUAAUACCUCAUGGUCUUAUUGAAUCGCAUGAUUUGAUGAGUAAAGUUCUGGCGGUGAAAGAUGGGCGUGCGUGCUAUUAGCUAGUUGGUAAGGUAAUGGCUUACCAAGGCUACGAUAGCUAGGGGCGUGAGAGCGUGGCCCCCCACACGGGUACUGAGACACGGACCCGACUCCUACGGGAGGCAGCAGUAAGGAAUAUUGGACAAUGGGCGAAAGCCUGAUCCAGCCAUCCCGCGUGGAGGAUGACUGCCCUACGGGUUGUAAACUCCUUUUAAUCAGGACGAAACCCCAAGAUUUAUCUUGGGCUGACGGUACUUUUGAAUAAGCACCGGCUAAUUCCGUG